AUUGAACGCUGGCGGCAGGCCCAACACAUGCAAGUCGAGCGGAUGAAGGUAGCUUGCUACCUGAUUCAGCGGCGGCCGGGUGAGUAAUGCCUAGGAAUCUGCCUGGUAGUGGGGGACAACGUUUCGAAAGGAACGCUAAUAGCGCAUACGUCCUCCGGGAGAAAGUGGGGGAUCUUCGGAACUGACGCUAUCAGAGGAGCCUAGGUACGAUUAGCUUGUUGGUGAGGUAAAGGCUCACCAAGGCGACGAUCGUUAACUGGUCUGAGAGGAUGAUCAGUCACACUGGAACUGAGACACGGUCCAGACUCCUACGGGAGGCAGCAGGGGGGAAUAUUGGACAAUGGGCGAAAGCCUGAGCCAGCCAUGCCGCGUGUGUGAAGAAGGUCUUCGGAUUGUAAAGCACUUUAAGUUGGGAGGAAGGGCAGUAAGUUAAUACCUUGCUGUUUUGACGUUACCGACAGAAUAAGCACCGGCUAACUUCGUGCCAGCCGCCGCCGUAACAC
rnacentral:rRNA from 1 species